ACAAGGAAUGAAGGAAGGUGAGAGGAUCGAAAGCGUCGAUUUCCCUUGCUUUCUUUCUUUCUUUCUUUCUUUCCUUCUUUCUUUCUCUCAAAUUUGUUCUGUUCUGUUCAAACAAACGGUGUGAGGGGCGGC
rnacentral:ribozyme from 11 species